rnacentral:rRNA from 1 species
GACGACCGCUGGCGGCGUGCUUAACACAUGCAAGUCGAACGGCAAGGCCCUGCUUUUGUGGGGUGCUCGAGUGGCGCACGGGUGAGUAAAACGUGAGUAACCUGCCCUUGACUUUGGGAUAACUUCAGGAAACUGGGGCUAAUACCGGAUAGGAGCUCCUGCUGCAUGGUGGGGGUUGGAAAGUUUCGGCGGUUGGGGAUGGACUCGCGGCUUAUCAGCUUGUUGGUGGGGUAGUGGCUUACCAAGGCUUUGACGGGUAGCCGGCCUGAGAGGGUGACCGGCCACAUUGGGACUGAGAUACGGCCCAGACUCCUACGGGAGGCAGCAGUGGGGAAUAUUGCACAAUGGGCGGAAGCCUGAUGCAGCAACGCCGCGUGCGGGAUGACGGCCUUCGGGUUGUAAACCGCUUUCGCCUGUGACGAAGCGUGAGUGACGGUAAUGGGUAAAGAAGCACCGGCUAACUACGUG